rnacentral:SRP_RNA from 1 species
GCCGGGCGCAGUGGCACAUGCCUGUAGUCCCAGCUAUUUGGGAGGCUGAAGCUGGAGUAUCUCUUGAGUCCAGAAGUUCUGGGCUAUAGUGUGCUUUGCCAAUCAGGUGUCCCCACUAAGUUCGGCAUCAAUAUGGUGACCUCCCGGGAGUGGGAGACCACCAGGUUGCCUAAGGAGGGGUGAACUGGCCCAGGUUGGAAACGGAGCAGGUCAAAACUCUCGUGCUGAUCAGUCGUGGGAUCACGGCUGUGUAUAGCCACUGCACUCCAGCCUGGGCAACAUAGCAAGACUCCGUCUCCU